ACAUCCAGACAACAACACUCACUGUCUCCAUGAGUUUAAGUGCUUCGGUGUCUCUGGGCAUGCUGUAUAUGCCCAAGGUUUAUAUUAUAAUUUUUCAUCCAGAGCAGAACGUUCAAAAACGCAAGAGGAGCUUCAAGGCUGUGGUGACCGCUGCCACCAUGCAAAGCAAACUGAUCCAAAAAGGCAAUGACAGACCAAAUGGCGAGGUGAAAAGCGAACUCUGUGAGAGUCUUGAAACCAACAGUAAGUCAUCCGUAGACUUUCCGAUGGUCAAGAGCGGGAGCACUUCCUGAUAGAUCUUCCUCCACCAAGACGACAUAUAUCAGCUACAGCAAUCACUCAAUCUGAAACAGGGAAAUGAUACAAUAUGAAGAAAUGUGGUAUGCGAUCUUAAACAAUGAACGUGACACCACCAACACUCACUCCUGGAGAUCUCUGUAGACUACAAUCAAUCAAAUCAAUAGUCAAUCUUGUAAGGAACCAAAAGUAGCCACAAGCCAAAAGUAUUAAUAAUAGGGAGUGGAGAAACCCGUUUUAUACAAUGCAACCAAUGAGUGUCAAGCUAAAGUAUUGCUUAUUCAUGAGCAGUUUAAAAAAAAAAUCACAAAAGGAAACUAAUGUUAGCUUGUGAAAAAAACAAAAACAAAUGCUGUUGAAAUAUGAAAUAAACCUUGUCUGAUGUUAUUCUUGUAAGUAUUUUUCUGUGAUUGUGAGAACUCCCGUUCCUGUCCCACAUUGUUCAACUUGUAUAAGACAAAGAGUCCGUUUCUUGUAAUGGCUGACCGGAUUGAAGCCCUGGGUUGUGCUAAAAAUAAAUGCAAUGGUUGACGCAUGCAAUUUUUUAUACAAAUAAUUUAUUUCUAAUAAUAAAGGAAUGUUUUGCAAAUGUU